rnacentral:rRNA from 1 species
UUUAAUUGAAGAGUUUGAUCAUGGCUCAGAUUGAACGCUGGCGGCAGGCCUAACACAUGCAAGUCGAGCGGAAACGAAGAGGUGCUUGCACCUCUGGCGUCGAGCGGCGGACGGGUGAGUAAUGCUUGGGAAUAUGCCUUAUGGUGGGGGACAACAGUUGGAAACGACUGCUAAUACCGCAUGAUGUCUACGGACCAAAGUGGGGGACCUUCGGGCCUCACGCCAUAAGAUUAGCCCAAGUGGGAUUAGCUAGUUGGUGAGGUAAUGGCUCACCAAGGCGACGAUCCCUAGCUGGUUUGAGAGGAUGAUCAGCCACACUGGGACUGAGACACGGCCCAGACUCCUACGGGAGGCAGCAGUGGGGAAUAUUGCACAAUGGGCGCAAGCCU